UGUGCAAUAGCUGGGUCAAAUGAUGCUUCCAUUCCAAGUUUUCCAAGGAAUCUCCAUACUGCUUUCUAGAUUGGCUACACCAAUUUGCAGUCCCAUCAGCAAU
rnacentral:pre_miRNA from 1 species